UAUGAUGAAGACCAACUAGUCAUCUCUGUGAAUGCAAAAGGCUUGCUGUACCAUCACCUGCACUAUUCGUCGAUGCUUCCGAAAUUAAUAAAUUUCAUGAUUGAAUCUAUCAAGUUCAAAGGAUGGUCAGUGACUACAGUUGGGAAUGAGGUUUUCAGUUCUAAUACUAUUUCCUCCAGUAGUUCCACGUUAUUACCUCAUUAUCCUGGUACCGUGUCCAUAAAGCAAAAAGGAUGGAGUUCUUUAACUGUGUCUCCUUCUUCCUAUGGGCCUUGAUCUUCUCGUGAGAGAGAAGCUUCUAUGAUAGCUUUACGUCUUGACACAGCUGCUCCAGCACCAACGUCAUCUUGUAAAACGGGAGAUUUGGGCCACCCGCCAACUGUCAUUGUGAAGCCCUUCACAAUCGUUAUUUGUUCUCAGAAGGAGAUUGAAACAGGACCAAUGAACAGGAGUCCAAAAACGGCCUCGAAUCCAGUUUCGCUCCAUAUAGUCCAUUAAUGUCUCCAGUAUUGGUGGCACCGAUGUUCGUAAGGAGUCAAACACCGAAGAUAGGCGAGGCAAAGCAGACGAAAAACGAAGUCGCGAACAGGAUUGGGUCCUUUUUUGUUGUACUCGGUCGACAGGUUAAAAUCGCGGAUUUUCUUCAUUAUUGCCUGGCCCCAAUGGAAAUUACAUCCCAAGUGGAAGCAAGAAGGAAACAGUUUUCGGACUGCGACAAAAACUGCGCGUUCAAAAUCUGUCACAAUCCGUUCAACUCUGGGAAGGGGCAUGAUUUCCUGAAUAAGUUUUUGGAACACCGCUAUAUAGUCAAUAGCUCUUCUUCGAGACAUGCAACAGAAAAGAAGCGGCACUUGCUUUAAAUCUCCUUUCUCGUUCUUUAUUAUUCCGUUGAUGGAGAGUAACUAGUGGAAUGUCGCAUCUAGGAACCACGUCUUACAGUCCUCCAACUGUCUCUUCAUUACUUGUGUGAAAAACAGAAGAUGACGAGCUUUAUUUGUGCCAUGCCCAGCGAAGACCUCUCCUUGAAAAAAGUCUGGAGUGAAGAACUCUACGUGGAUCUAAAAAAAUGGCUCGUCUUUCCUAGGAUUAGGAGGCAUAGAUUUGGAUCUCAAAUAUCUGCAAUGAGAAAAAGCAUUACCUUAACCGCCUAGUCGCAUUUUCUACAUCCGGCAUAUCUCUCCCUGCCAUCUCCUUGUUCUUCUUCAAUUCGUCAAAAAUAAUCCUUUUGGGGGGCUUAAACUUCUCUAGCUUACUCGCUCGUGGUUCCCAUGGUCUGGCGGAUGAUUAUGAUGGACUCCACUGUUUUGAUUGUGUAACUUUUCCUGGAAGUAUUCUUGGCUGUAUUCAACAAGUUGGCUGAGCUCUUACACCAUCACUGUCGCGAUUUCGCCUUGAAACAGAUGGUUCGAAGACAUCAGAAUCCUAUAACGGUUAAGGAUAAGAACGGAGAGUUGUCUGGUUGAACGCGUCGUCUUCGUCGUGGUGGAGCAACAGGCGGAGUAGCAGUGGGAGAUCUAAGCUUGAAAGAAUUAAAAGAACAGGAGACAUUAAUAAAGAAACAAUAGGAGAAGACUGUGCCCUUGGAGAUUCUCUAUGGCAAGGAGGAGAUGGUCUUCUCUGAAGCGGAGGAGAUGGUCUUCUCUGAAGCGGAGGAGAUGAUGUUCUUUGACGAGGCGGAGAUGGGAUUCUCUGACGCGGAGGAGAUGGUGUUUUCUGAAUAUCAGCAGCAGCAGAACAAACAGGACGUCGUCUGGAUACAUGGGAAGGAUGUAGAAUCUCCGGACGCUUCACGGUUCUUUUCGGGCGAACAGAAGCUCUUGCAGUAACCGCCUCAACGUCGUUUCCAUCACGAGAACCACCUGCAACACUUGCCACUGCUUCACGGACUUCUUGACCCUCACUUGCAGACCGUGUACUAUCAGCAUCUGACAAACUAGCAUUCGCCUAGUUAAAAGAGCAGGGAAUCAUCGCUUACAUCAUCUGUACGAAUCUGUACACUAUCAAUACAAACACACUUUGCACAGCGGUAGUUGGUGGAAAAUUCUUUCCAGGUGCGUGUGCCACCUCUAGCGAAAACAAAUCCGCAACACGCACGGUGAAGUGCAACUUUACAAACAAGACACCGACAGAACUGUUUCCGACUCGAAACGACUUAAUCACAGUGAGAACACUUCGAAUCCGAAGAGAGAUCCAUGGUGAGUACUACUUUGCACAAGACUGAAACAGAGACUAUUGCCUUCCCUGAAAUGUUCUUUCAUUAUAUAGGAAGUGUAUCAUAUGGAGGAGGAGCCACAGGACGUUCCGGUGGUUUCCAUUCUGAAGUGUGUGUGCCGCUCCUUCGGGAGCUGUCAGUGGCUAUGUAAGAUAAAGGCUCCCUAGGGAAUAUGUGUUGAAAGUGGCAAAACUCUUCUGAUGGUACCAUUAAAGAGAGAGAAAGACAUCAGAUGAACAUCGAGAUCCCACCACCACCCCCCAGACCAGAAUUUGAUAGUUCUAGGGAGAAGUUGCAGAAACUUGGAGAAGGAGAGGGUUCAAUGACGGCAAAGGAAUUCAAUAAGAUGAAGCUAAAGCUAGAAGCGUAAUACCUCAGUUCGAAUGAACUUGUGUCUCUUUUCCCUUUUUUUGUUUUUAAU
rnacentral:lncRNA from 1 species